GCGUCGGUAGUGCAGUUGAUUAGCACACUCCCUCUGAAAGGGUGAAAUGCGGGUUCGAUUCCCAUCCGACGUU